rnacentral:rRNA from 1 species
UACGUAGGGGGCAAGCGUUGUCCGGAUUCAUUGGGCGUAAAGAGCGUGUAGGCGGCCAGGUAGGUCGGUUGUGAAAACUGGAGGCUCAACCUUCAGACGUCGACCGAAACCAUCUGGCUAGAGUCCGGGAGAGGAGAGUGGAAUUCCUGGUGUAGCGGUGAAAUGCGCAGAUAUCAGGAGGAACACCCGUAGCGAAGGCGGCACUCUGGGCCGGAACUGACGCUGAGGAGCGAAAGCGUGGGGAGCGAACAGG